UUACGGCCAUAUCACGUCGAAACACUUGUUUUCGUAUGAUCACCAAAGUUAAGCAACGUCGAGCCUGGCCAGUAUCUAGAUGAGAGACCGCUUGGCAAUACCAGGUGAUGUAA